rnacentral:rRNA from 1 species
CACGCUGUAAACGAUGUCGAUUUGGAGUUUGUUGCCUAGAGUGAUGGGCUCCGAAGCUAACGCGAUAAAUCGACCGCCUGGGGAGUACGGCCGCAAGGUUAAAACUCAAAUGAAUUGACGGGGGCCCGCACAAGCGGUGGAGCAUGUGGUUUAAUUCGAUGCAACGCGAAGAACCUUACCUGGUCUUGACAUCCAUAGAAUUCUGCAGAGAUGUGGGAGCGCCUUCGGGAACUAUGAGACAGGUGCUGCAUGGCUGUCGUCAGCUCGUGUUGUGAAAUGUUGGGUUAAGUCCCGCAACGAGCGCAACCCUUAUUCUUUGUUGCUAGCGAUUUGGUCGGGAACUCAAAGGAGACUGCCGUUGAUAAAGCGGAGGAAGGUGGGGACGACGUCAAGUCAUCAUGGCCCUUACGACCAGGGCUACACACGUGCUACAAUGGCGUAUACAAAGGGAAGCGAAGGUGCGAGCUGGAGCGGAUCUCAUAAAGUACGUCUAAGUUCGGAUUGGAGUCUGCAACUCGACUCCAUGAAGUCGGAAUCGCUAGUAAUCGUAGAUCAGAAUGCUACGGUGAAUACGUUCCCGGGCCUUGUACACACCGCCCGUCACACCAUGGGAGUGGGUUGCACCAGAAGUAGAUAGCUUAACCGCGAGGGGGGCGUUUACCACGGUGUGAUUCAUGACUGGGGUGAAGUCGUAACAAGGUAACCA